GCCCAAGGAGCAGCCGGCAGCUUGACACAGUGACCAGUUGGAAGCACAGCAGCCACACGCCAUGAAACAAGACGGAGUUUCGCUCUUGGCUGGAGUGCAAUGGCGUAAUCUCGGCUCACCGCAACCUCCACCUCGCGGGUUCAAGUGAUUCUCCUGCCUCAGCCUCCUGGGUAGCUGGAAUUACAGGCAUGCGCCACCAUACCAGACUAAUUUUAUAAUUUUAGUAGAAACGGGGUUUUUCCAUGUUGGUCAGGCUGGUCCUGAACUCCCGACCUCGGGUGAUCCUCCUGCCUCAGCCUCCCUAUAUUAUUAAUCUUAAGUCUAAAUGUUCUAUUAGAAAAGUUACAGUCACAUAUGCAGCUUGCAUUACAUUGCUAAUGGACCACACUGCUCUAAACCAGGGGUUGGCAAACUAUGGGCAGUGGACAACUUCCAGCCCACUGUCUGUUUCUGUACGGCUGGUAAACAAGGAAUGGUUUUCACAUUUUUAAAUGGCAGAAAAAAGAUAAUUUGUGAUACAUGAACAUUGAUAAAAUUCAAAUUUCAGUAUCCAUGAAGAGUUUUAUUGGAAAAGAGAACCUACAACCAUUGCCUCUCCCACUGCGUAAGUUCUGCAAAGGCUCAUGCUUUGUCUUUUGUUGGAUGAAUGACUACCAGCACCUAGGACAGUGCCUGCACAAAUUAGGUGCCCUAUAAAUAUUUGUUGAGUCACUAAAUUUUAAAAUUCUAGAUUAUGGGGACUGUGUAGGAAGGACCUCAUUAUUUAGAGAAUAUGAAUUACCCACUAUUACAACUCACUGUGUCCAUCCCUAAGCCAGAAGAGCAAAGGUUAAGACCCCAAGCAAGCCCACACGUAAUGACACAGGAAUGGAAAGCUGAUGCUCGGCGUGGUCUCCUGCUGAGCCUGGACACAAGCAUAGGCACUGCUGCAAUGGCAAGAGAAGCGCAAAAAGUUUUAAAACAAAAUACAUUAUU
rnacentral:antisense_RNA from 1 species